CCUACGGGUGGCAGCAGUCGAGAAUCAUUCACAAUGGGGGAAACCCUGAUGGUGCGACGCCGCGUGGGGGAAUGAAGGUCUUCGGAUUGUAAACCCCUGUAUGUGGGAGCAAAUUAAAAAGAUAGUACCACAAGAGGAAGAGACGGCUAACUCUGUGCCAGCAGCCGCGGUAAUACAGAGGUCUCAAGCGUGGUUCGGAAUCACUGGGCGUAAAGCGUGCGUAGGCUGUUUCGUAGGUCGUGGGUGAAAGGCGCGGGCUCAACCCGCGGACGGCACAUGAUACUGCGAGACUAGAGUAAUGGAGGGGGAACCGGAAUUCUCGGUGUAGCAGUGAAAUGCGUAGAUAUCGAGAGGAACACUCGUGGCGAAGGCGGGUUCCUGGACAUUAACUGACGCUGAGGAGCGAAAGCGUGGGUAGCAAACAGGAUUAGAUACCCGGGUAGUC
rnacentral:rRNA from 1 species